AGUGAACGCUGGCGGUAGGCCUAACACAUGCAAGUCGAACGGCAGCACAGUAAGAGCUUGCUCUUACGGGUGGCGAGUGGCGGGCGGGUGAGGAAUACAUCGGAAUCUACUUUUUCGUGGGGGAUAACGUAGGGAAACUUACGCUAAUACCGCAUACGACCUACGGGUGAAAGCAGGGGAUCUUCGGACCUUGCGCGAUUGAAUGAGCCGAUGUCGGAUUAGCUAGUUGGCGGGGUAAAGGCCCACCAAGGCGACGAUCCGUAGCUGGUCUGAGAGGAUGAUCAGCCACACUGGAACUGAGACACGGUCCAGACUCCUACGGGAGGCAGCAGUGGGGAAUAUUGGACAAUGGGCGCAAGCCUGAUCCAGCCAUACCGCGUGGGUGAAGAAGGCCUUCGGGUUGUAAAGCCCUUUUGUUGGAAAAGAAAAGCAGCAGGUUAAUACCCCGCUGUUCUGACGGUACCCAAAGAAUAAGCACCGGCUAACCUCGUG
rnacentral:rRNA from 1 species